ACAGGAGAAGCCGCAGCCACUGAGGUCCUAGUUCUGAUCCAGAAGUGGCGGCUACGCCUUUGCUGUAGCCUCACCGAUCCGCCGCCGCCGCCGCCAUGAAGUUCCGCUCUGAUUCGUCAGGCGGCGACGAGCCCCGCGCUCCGGCUGCCGGCGACGGCGGCGGCGGCGGCGACGAGCCGGCCAAGAGGCAGCGGACCGAUCCGUCCUCCAGUUCGAGCCAGGGCGAGGCCUCCUCUUCCUCGCAGCCGCCACCGCAGCAGCAGCAGGAGGAGCAGCCUCCGGAGGAUGCGGGAGAGGGCGAGCAGCCGAGGGUUCCGGAUCUCGGGGAGGACCUGGUGUUCGAGGUGCUGCGGCGAGCGGAGGCGCGGACGCUGGCGGCCGCGGCGUGCGUGAGCAGGGGGUGGCGGCAGCUCGCGGAGGACGAGCGGCUCUGGGAGGCCGCGUGCGUGCGGGAGUGGGCGAACCUCGGCUUCUCCGAGCGGCAGCUCCGGGCCGUGGUGCUCUCCCUCGGUGGAUUCCGCCGGCUCCACGCUGUCUACAUCCGCCCCCUGCAGUGGCGUGGCGCCGGCGUGCCCAGGCAACAGGGGAGGCGGCAGCCGCCGGUGAGGUUGGGCCGGGACCAGGUUCAGCUCUCGCUGUCACUGUUCUCCAUUGGGUUCUUUCAGAAUAUGCCUUGUCCUAAGAAAGACAAGGGAAAUGACAGUGAUAAGAAUGGAGGGGGCCAAUGCGGGUAGUCGAAUUUGUGGAAUAAGCUUCACUCCAACAAGCAUCAUCCUAAGCUACCAUGGCAGUUGCCCUAUUGUUCACACUGGUGAUGCUAGAGAGUGUUGGAGAGACGAACAGGAAAAUCGGCAUGCUUGAUUUGGGACAUGAGAGAAAUUAAGUGGAAUUGCAAGAUCUGAAUUGGUUCGGUUGUGUUCCGCACUUGUAAGAUUUAUGUGAUAGUGUCACAUGGAUUGAUGGACGUUGAGUGCUAUGAGGACAGUUGCGUGAAUGCUGAUGACAAGUGAUUUACUUCAAGAGAAGGGAGAAAUGGUUUGCAAUUCGUUCUGCUGUUGCUGAUAUUCUAGUUAUCAGCUAUUGUGUCAACUUGAUAUAUCUGGCCCAAGAGCAGUAUGGACUGUGUGCCUUCUUGCGCCGGUACCAAGCUUUAGAGGGAAAGCUGAUGCAAAUAGCUUUUGUUUGCAUAACCUUUUUCAAUUAGGGAAACAUAAUUUCCCAUAUUAGGCAUAUGGAGAAUUAUGUGAGAUUUGACCUUCUGUUUCUACCAGAAAAACACAAACAGUGAAGAUGUCGCAGCCUGCUGAGCUUUCCCGUGAGGAGAAUGUGUACAUGGCUAAGCUUGCAGAGCAGGCCGAGAGGUAUGAGGAGAUGGUUGAGUUCAUGGAGAAGGUUGCUAAGACAGUUGACUCUGAGGAGCUCACUGUUGAGGAGCGCAACCUUCUAUCAGUUGCUUACAAGAAUGUUAUUGGUGCUCGCCGUGCGUCAUGGCGCAUCAUAUCAUCCAUUGAACAGAAGGAAGAGAGCCGUGGUAAUGAGGAUCGUUGCACGCUCAUCAAGGAAUACAGGGGAAAGAUUGAAACUGAGCUCUCCAAGAUCUGUGAUGGCAUCCUCAAGCUUCUUGACUCCCACCUUGUGCCUUCAUCCACUGCUCCAGAGUCCAAGGUCUUCUACCUCAAGAUGAAAGGCGACUACUACAGGUACCUCGCAGAGUUUAAGACUGGAGCUGAGAGGAAGGAUGCUGCUGAGAACACCAUGGUGGCAUACAAAGCCGCUCAGGAUAUUGCCCUGGCAGAGUUGCCCCCAACUCAUCCUAUCAGACUUGGGCUGGCCCUCAACUUCUCGGUGUUUUAUUACGAGAUCCUCAACUCUCCUGACCGUGCUUGCAAUCUUGCAAAGCAGGCUUUCGAUGAGGCUAUCUCAGAGCUGGACACUCUGAGUGAGGAAUCCUACAAGGACAGCACUUUGAUCAUGCAGCUUCUGCGUGAUAACCUGACGCUGUGGACUUCCGAUAUCUCGGAGGAUGCUGCUGAGGAAAUCAAGGAGGCCCCCAAGGGCGAAUCAGGAGAUGGACAGUGAACAUGAUCGAAUGCGUGCGCCCACAAACUAGAAUAGUGACGCUGCAAAUGUGCUGUGGGUUAUCGUUUCAUUUUAUAGAUUGUAAUGUCUCGUGAUUUGUCGGAAACAGGAGGCGCUCCCCAUUUAUGUUGUGCUAGGAAACCUUGCAGCUGACUCGCUGCUUGGCUGGUGGAUUCUCGAGCUGCACUUUCUUUGGGGGGAGCCUCAGGGUGGAACCUUCAUGUCACUUAUUGGAUCGAUUGUUUUCGGUAUGUCAGUUGUGAGCCUUAUCUCCAGAGUCC
rnacentral:lncRNA from 1 species